UGGGGAAUCUUCCACAAUGGACGAAAGUCUGAUGGAGCAACGCCGCGUGAGUGAAGAAGGGUUUCGGCUCGUAAAGCUCUGUUGUCGGGGACGAAUGUGCAGUAUUUGAAUAAAGUAGUGCAAUGACGGUACCUGACGAGGAAGCCACGGCUAACUACGUGCCAGCAGCCGCGGUAAUACGUAGGUGGCAAGCGUUGUCCGGAAUUAUUGGGCGUAAAGGGAGCGCAGGCGGGAAGGUAAGUCGGUCUUAAAAGUGCGGGGCUCAACCCCGUGAUGGGAUCGAAACUAUCUUUCUUGAGUGCAGGAGAGGAAAGUGGAAUUCCUAGUGUAGCGGUGAAAUGCGUAGAUAUUAGGAGGAACACCAGUGGCGAAGGCGACUUUCUGGACUGUAACUGACGCUGAGGCUCGAAAGCCAGGGGAGCGAACG
rnacentral:rRNA from 1 species